AAUGUAGUAAUUAAAGAAAAAAUAACAUUGCAAAUGUUAAAGCGAUUUCUUUU
rnacentral:tRNA from 1 species